rnacentral:rRNA from 1 species
AAUGAACGCUGGCGGCGUGCCUAACACAUGCAAGUCGUGCGGCAGCGAGCCCUUCGGGGUGUCGGCGAGCGGCGGACGGCUGAGUAACGCGUAGGAAUCUACCCCAAAGUGAGGAAUAACCUCGAGAAAUCGAGGCUAAUGCCGCAUAUGGUCUUCGGAUUAAAGGAUUUAUCCGCUUUGGGAAGAGCCUGCGUAAGAUUAGCUAGUUGGUGAGGUAAUGGCUCACCAAGGCGACGAUCUUUAGCUGGUCUGAGAGGAUGACCAGCCAGACUGGAACUGAGACACGGUCCAGACUCCUACGGGAGGCAGCAGUAAGGAAUCUUCCACAAUGGGCGAAAGCCUGAUGGAGCAACGCCGCGUGCAGGAUGAAGGCCUUCGGGUCGUAAACUGCUUUUAUAAGUGAGGAAUAUGACGGUAACUUAUGAAUAAGGAUCGGCUAACUCCGUGCCAGCCGCCGCAGUAAAAC